rnacentral:rRNA from 1 species
GAACUGAAACAUCUAAGUACCCCGAGGAAAAGAAAUCAACCGAGAUUCCCCCAGUAGCGGCGAGCGAACGGGGAGCAGCCCAGAGCCUGAAUCAGUGUGUGUGUUAGUGGAAGCGUCUGGAAAGGCGCGCGAUACAGGGUGACAGCCCCGUACACAAAAAUGCACAUAUUGUGAGCUCGAUGAGUAGGGCGGGACACGUGGUAUCCUGUCUGAAUAUGGGGGGACCAUCCUCCAAGGCUAAAUACUCCUGACUGACCGAUAGUGAACCAGUACCGUGAGGGAAAGGCGAAAAGAAC